rnacentral:rRNA from 1 species
UACGAAGGGGGCUAGCGUUGCUCGGAAUCACUGGGCGUAAAGCGCACGUAGGCGGCUUUUUAAGUCAGGGGUGAAAUCCUGGAGCUCAACUCCAGAACUGCCUUUGAUACUGAAGAUCUUGAGUCCGGGAGAAGGUGAGUGGAACUGCGAGUGUAGAGGUGAAAUUCGUAGAUAUUCGCAAGAACACCAGUGGCGAAGGCGGCUCACUGGCCCGGUACUGACGCUGAGGUGCGAAAGCGUGGGGAGCAAACA